AGAUUGAACGCUGGCGGCAUGCCUAACACAUGCAAGUCGAACGGCAGCACAGCAGAGCUUGCUCUGUGGGUGGCGAGUGGCGGACGGGUGAGUAAUGCAUCGGGACCUACCUGAACGUGGGGGAUAACGUAGGGAAACUUACGCUAAUACCGCAUACGUCCUACGGGAGAAAGCGGGGGACCUUCGGGCCUCGCGCGGUCAGACGGACCGAUGUUCGAUUAGCUAGUUGGUAAGGUAAUGGCUUACCAAGGCGACGAUCGAUAGC
rnacentral:rRNA from 1 species